rnacentral:tRNA from 1 species
GAGGUAAUAGCUCAGUUGGUUAGAGCGUCGGAUUGUGGUUCCGAAGGUCGUGGGUUCGACCCCCAUUUAUCUCCCA